UCCUACGGGAGGCAGCAGUGGGGAAUAUUGCGCAAUGGAGGCAACUCUGACGCAGCGAUGCCGCGUGGGUGAAUAAGGCCUUAGGGUUGUAAAGCCCUUUCAGUGGGGACGAUGAUGACGGUACCCACAGAAGAAGCCCCGGCUAACUCCGUGCCAGCAGCCGCGGUAAUACGGAGGGGGCGAGCGUUGUUCGGAAUUAUUGGGCGUAAAGAGCGCGUAGGCGGUUUAUCAAGUCAGAAGUGAAAGCCUCAGGCUUAACCUGGGAACUGCUUUUGAAACUGGUAGACUUGAGUCCGGCAGAGGAUGGUGGAAUUCCCCGUGUAGAGGUGAAAUUCGUAGAUAUGGGGAGGAAGACCAGAGGCGAAGGCGGCCAUCUGGACCGGUACUGACGCUGAGGCGCGAGAGCGUGGGGAGCAAACAGGAUUAGAUACCCUGGUAGUCCACGCUGUAAACGAUGAGUGCUAGUUGUCGCGGGUAUCGACCCCUGCGGCAACGAAGUUAACACGUUAAGCACUCCGCCUGGGGAGUACGGCCGCAAGGCUAAAACUCAAGGAAUUGACGGA
rnacentral:rRNA from 1 species